CUUUGGAGAUGACCAGAGUUUGCUCAUAAUUCCACUUGUGAUUAUUUGCCAGGUGUUCUUUCUGGAGACUUCUGCUGAACUGUGCAGAAAGACUGAACACGGAGCAUGGGUCGGAGCAGAGAAUUCAUGAAGGUUGCUAGAAAAGCCCUCUUGGGAAGCUGCAUUCAGCAUUGUGCCUGUGGGAUUAUACCAAGGAACCCAAACCCCCUUGACUCCCCAAACUGUUUAGUAGUCUUUUAAGGCAGCACCUUCCCCACUUUUCUAACCUGGACCCUUUUUCUCUCCACCAACCUCACCCUGAGCGAGACCCUUUCCCGUCUCACCUUCAAGGCUUUCUUGCCAGCAGAAAUUCCUGCAGGUGGAGCUGAAAUAACACCCUGCUGCUGGAAUAAGGGAUGAGGCACCCGUUGGCAGAGAGUAAUUGCUUCCCUGUGGUUCCUGGGUCUCCUGCUUGCUCUCGACGUGCCCGUGCGAGCAGCCGCCCGCUCGGAUCAUCAUCCUGCCUGCCCCGUGUCCUUGCUGGCACCAGGUGGUUUGUGCAGCAGGUGACCAGCCCUGCCCCAUCAGCUCUUGCUUAAUCCUGGUAUUUGGACCACCUCUGGAUCACAAAGCUUGGAUAUUGUGCAGCAGUGAGUUGAUUUUCUUGUAACAGGCGUCCUGAUUUCGUUCCCAGAGGAAGGAAACCUGGUGCCAUCGCUCGUCACAGGAUCACAGGAUCAGUCUGAGGGGUCGGAAGGGACCUGGAAACACCAUCCAGCCCAACCCCCCUGCCAGAGCAGGGUCACCCAAAGCACAUCACACAGGAACGUGUCCAGGGGGGUUUGAAUGUCUCCAGAGAAGGAGACUCCACAGCCUCUCUGGGCAGCCUGUCCCAGGGCUCCUCUGCUCCAGUUUGCACCCACUGCCCCUUGUCCCAUCACUGGACAUCACUGAACAAAGCCUGGCUCUGACCUCCUGACACUCACCCUGAACAUAUUUGUAAACACUGAUGAGGUCGCCCCUCAGCCUCCUCUUCUCCAAGCUCAGGAGACCCAGCUCCCUCAGCCUCUCCUCAUCAGGGAGAUGUUCCACUCCCUUCAGCAUCUCUGUGGCUCUGCCCUGGACUCUUUCCAGCAGUUCCCUGUCCUUCUGGAACUGAGGGGCCCAAAACUGGACACAACAUUCCAGAUGUGGCCUCCCCAAGACAGAACAGAGGGGGAGGAGAACCUCCCUUGACCUACUAACCACCCCCUUUCUAACCCACCCAAGGACUGUGAUGAAAGGCACGGUCUGGAGUGCAAAACAAUUUCUUACUGGAUUCAUCUCUACCCA